UUGCUCCCGGAUGUUAACGGCGGACGGGUGAUAACACGUGGGUAACCUGCCUGUAAGACUGGGAUAACUCCGGGAAACCGGAGCUAAUACCGGAUAGUUCCUUGAACCGCAUGGUUCAAGGAUGAAAGACGGUUUCGGCUGUCACUUACAGAUGGACCCGCGGCGCAUUAGCUAGUUGGUGGGGUAAUGGCUCACCAAGGCGACGAUGCGUAGCCGACCUGAGAGGGUGAUCGGCCACACUGGGACUGAGACACGGCCCAGACUCCUACGGGAGGCAGCAGUAGGGAAUCUUCCGCAAUGGACGAAAGUCUGACGGAGCAACGCCGCGUGAGUGAUGAAGGUUUUCGGAUCGUAAAGCUCUGUUGUUAGGGAAGAAC
rnacentral:rRNA from 1 species